AAUAAUUUGGUUAUCUGGGUUAUUGGCUUCCAUCUGAUCAAGAUGCUGGAAAUUUUGUGAGAAAGGAAAAACCUGUAAAUAAAUCCUGGCCAAAAUAUUCAAUUGAAGUUUUAAGAUACUAUGAUUUUUAUAUAAAAGCAAAAGCUGGUGUUCAAGGAUUUAUAGCAGAAGGUUCAGCCUAUGAGACUGAAAAAGAAACUGGAAGAGGAAAACGAAAAAGAGUACGAAAUAGACUUUUUGAAGAUUCCUCUUCUAACGAAAAACUUAUAAAACGCAACACGAAGUUAAUUCCAUCACCGCCAGAUAUUUCUUUCAAAAAUAAUAAAAAAGCAGAACACGUGCCCAAUUGUCUUUCAAAAACUUCUAAUCUUUCAAAAGCAUGCUCAAAAAGUAAUAUGGAUAGACUAAAGAGGACAUAAAAUACAAAUAAGAAUACUAACAAUGCUAAGAAAGUACAAAGUCUCUUCUUGAAGGCAUUGAUUCUGAUGAAGAAUAUGUUGUGCACACAAAAAAGUCUAUUUCUGUACCGUCAAAUAUUCUGUUUAAACACAAACAGUUACUACCAAAUUCUGAGGAAGAUGUACAAGAAGCAGAACACGAGAAUAAAUGUCUUUCGACUUCCUUUUUUCCUUUAAAAACAUCUUCAAGCAGCAAUAUUAUUGAGAAACUAAAAAGGACACAGGAGAUUAAUAAUGCUUCUGUUAGUCGCACUAAGUUAAAUACAACUGAAUCCAAUCGCCAAAACAAAAAGUUAUCUUGCAAGGACAUGGUGCAAUCACCCAUUAAGAAGACGUUAGCGGAAACGGAAAGUGUUUUUUCAUCAAACUCUAUUCUUCUCCGCAAUCGAGACCCUUCAGUCCAAUUAAAUCUAGAUUUUAUCAGCGUAUGCUUUCUAU
rnacentral:lncRNA from 13 species